CCUACGGGAGGCAGCAGUGGGGAAUAUUGGACAAUGGGGGCAACCCUGAUCCAGCCAUGCCGCGUGAGUGAUGAAGGCCUUCGGGUUGUAAAGCUCUUUUGGCGGGGACGAUGAUGACGGUACCCGCAGAAUAAGCCCCGGCUAACUUCGUGCCAGCAGCCGCGGUAAGACGAAGGGGGCUAGCGUUGUUCGGAAUUACUGGGCGUAAAGCGCGUGUAGGCGGUUUGCCAAGUCGGGUGUGAAAGCCUUGGGCUUAACCCAAGAAAUGCACUCGGUACUGGCAGACUAGAGGACCGGAGAGGAUAGUGGAAUUCCCAGUGUAGUGGUGAAAUACGUAGAGAUUGGGAAGAACACCAGUGGCGAAGGCGGCUAUCUGGACGGUUUCUGACGCUAAGACGCGAAAGCGUGGGGAGCAAACAGGAUUAGAUACCCUGGUAGUCCACGCCGUAAACGAUGGGUGCUAGACGUUGGCGAGCUUGCUCGUCAGUGUCGCAGCUAACGCGUUAAGCACCCCGCCUGGGGAGUACGGCCGCAAGGUUGAAACCCCAAAGGAAUUGACGGCUGAGACNGCGACGACGACACGAGGGAGAG
rnacentral:rRNA from 1 species